CCUUGCUCAGUCGAGUUACAUGGCUGGCGAAGGAUAUUAUUUGGCUGAUCGCUGAUUCACAGUAUGGUGAACAUGAGUCUGUUGCUGCUUGGCUAAGAGAUUAUCACACACCAUCAUUUACUGGUUUAGUUUCACUUGAAUCACUCCUUCCAAAAUUGUAAGGUGUCACCAAGACAAUAGCUUCCUUACCAUCACCACGAGGUGAUCUUAUUAUUCCAAC
rnacentral:misc_RNA from 1 species